rnacentral:rRNA from 1 species
GACGAACGCUGGCGGCGUGCCUAAUACAUGCAAGUCGAGCGAAUCAAUAGGAGCUUGCUCCUGUUGGUUGGCGGCGGACGGGUGAGUAACACGUGGGCAACCUGCCUGUAAGACUGGGAUAACACCGGGAAACCGGUGCUAAUACCGGAUAAUCCUUUUCCUCUCAUGAGGAAAAGCUGAAAGUCGGUUUCGGCCGACACUUACAGAUGGGCCCGCGGCGCAUUAGCUAGUUGGUGGGGCAAGGGCCUGCCAAGGCGACGAUGCGUUGCCGACCUGAGAGGGUGAUCGGCCACACUGGGACUGAGACACGGCCCAGACUCCUGCGGGAGGCAGCAGUAGGGAAUCAUCCGCAAUGGGCGAAAGCCUGACGGUGCAACGCCGCGUGAGUGAGGAAGGUUUUCGGAUCGUAAAGCUCUGUUGUGAGGGAAGAACAGCUUCCGGAGGAAAUGCCGGAGGUUUGCCGGUACCUCACCAGAAAGCCCCGGCUAACUACGUGCCAGCCGCCGCCGUAAAAC